GUUAAAAAAAAAUUGGAUUCGUAAACAUACUAAGAAAUUGUGGUGUGAGAAGCUGUUUACACCGUAUUCCGCUAUGAACCAUUUGGGAAUGAAGGUAACGUUUUGAACACGUCUGCUGCUCACAGGAUUCAGAUGAGUGAUGAUAUGUCUUAAACGUGAUAUGUGUUGAACAUGAAAGAGGGUGAAGGAAGAAAGUGUCUUGAAUCUUGGCAAGUCAGCAUGAAAAGAGGAGAAGAGUGGGUGCCAGGUAGGAGGCGAUACUUGCGCGGGUCAUGGCAGCUACCCGUGCCAUGAAAACGUCGCAAACCACCCCGGCCGCCGCGACACACCUAUUGUUCAGGUUGACUAGUUCAAGUUGUUAGACCCUGUAGUGUAGGGCUUACUCCUCUCGCGGCAUCUACAAAGUCACUGAAAGAGCGCAGAUCUUUCUCUCCCCCUUCUUCCCGACUCCCACUCGAUGGGUCGGAAUCCGACUCAGAUGCUCCUGACGACUGAAGGGCACGAGGGCGAGAACGCAAGUCAAGCGUAACGAGCCGUCACCGUGUUCCUUAUCCUGUGUCGCGCUGUGUGUCGCACUGACACACGAUAAGCCGCAAUUAAACGUUGCAACAGUCGAGAGAAUGAACUUAGCAGGUAAGAAAGAAUUUCUAAAAUUCUGAUCCGCACUGGACUGAUUGUGUGAGUUGGGGUGGUGGUGGUUGGGUGUGUCGUGGGGUAUGGGGUGGAGUGAGAGGUGGCGCAAAUGUAAAUGGAGCAGCCUUCUGGAAUUCGAAAUGUCAUAUACAUUGCUCUUAAUUUCUAGUAUGACAAAUAUGAAACCUGUCCACCUGCUCUGCUAUGACUAACUAAAUGAAUUCUAAAAACAGACAUUAGUAUGGUUCUUCAGAAACACUCAAUAAAGAGGCAGUUAACAAAGGUCAAAGGGAGCACGUUUCUAUCUUUCCCGAGGGCGACAAAUCACGUCAACAGUUUUAAAAGAGAAUUGUCGUGGAUGCAUUAUUUGUUCGAAAAAAGCUCCGUGGUCACCUUCACAGUGAUUGCAUGCGAAAACGCAAUUUGUGCAUAAAAUGAGUUGGAAUGCACAGAUUCAAACAGGUGACCGCGAUGAACCUACCAUUAACAGGAACUUGACCGACUUGAACGACAUUAGUUAUUUGUGCAUUACUAGACUAGAGGGAAGCUGAAUGAAGGAUGAAGCCGUAUUUUCAGAAACACGAAUAAAAAUCGGCCACCGAGGUCUCAGAUAACAGUUUCUUGCCUGGCAGUGGCUGUCGUUUCGGGGGAACACCUACAGGUAGCGACUGACCGGAGGUUUCACUGACAGAGUGGAAGGCACCGCAAAAAAUAAAAAUAAAUAAAUGGAUGCAAGGAGCAGAAAACUCAAAGAAGAAACAUUACACCACCCUGCUUGUGGCUUCUCUAAUAAUGGUACAGCUACUGUCGUCAGUGUUCAACUCCCUCCCCGACAAAGUCCAACACCACAGGAUGAUUCAUUUUCAUUUUCAGCAAAUUUCCAGUGAGUCACCAUCUCAAAUUGUUUCACGAUAUUAAAUUAUUUUUUCUGCUCUAUCUCUGUCUCGUUCCUUCUUUCUAAUAAAUCUUCGUAAAUCGGACUGAGAGCUUCACGAUAAACAGAGAAACUUUUUUUUAAACAAAGAAAAACAAAACAAAAUUCUGUGGAUUAUGUGUAUCAUUCUGAA